GUUAUUGGUCAAGCUACAAAGGGCUCACGGAGGAUACCUAGGCACACAGAGGCGAUGAAGGACGUGGUUACCUGCGAUAAGUCUCGGGGAGUUGGAAGCACACUUUGAUCCGGGAAUUUCCGAAUGGGGCAACCCCUUGAACGACCAACUGAAUAUAUAGGUUGGUGCGAGCUAACCCAGCGAACUGAAACAUCUUAGUAGCUGGAGGAAGAGAAAGUAAAUAACGACUCCCUCAGUAGCGGCGAGCGAACGGGGAAUAGCCCAAACCGAUAGUCUUGACUAUCGGGGUUGUGGGACAGCAAUAUGGAUCAACAAGUCUAGAAGAAACGUUUGAAUGGCGUGCCACAGAGGGUGAAAGCCCCGUAAUUGAAAGAUAAGUUGACCUAGCUGUAUCCCGAGUAGCACGGAGCACGUGGAAUUCCGUGUGAAUCUGCGAGGACCACCUCGUAAGGCUAAGUACCUACUGUGUGACCGAUAGUGAAACAGUACCGCGAGGGAAAGGUGAAAAGAACCCCGGGAGGGGAGUGAAAUAGAACAUGAAACCGUGAGCUUACAAGCAAUGGGAGCCCGACUAAUCGGGUGACCGUGUGCCUGUUGAAGAAUGAGCCGGCGACUUAUAGGCACUGGCGGGUUAAACCGGAAAUGGUGGAGCCACAGCGAAAGCGAGUCUUAAUAGGGCGUUUGUCAGUGUUUAUAGACCCGAACCCUGGUGAUCUAACCAUGGCCAGGAUGAAGCUUGGGUGAUACCAAGUGGAGGUCCGAACCGACUGAAGUUGAAAAUUCAGCGGAUGAGCUGUGGUUAGGGGUGAAAUGCCAAUCGAACCAGGAGCUAGCUGGUUCUCCCCGAAAUACGUUGAGGCGUAGCGUCUAGUGCUCCAGCAGGGGGGUAAAGCAACCAUUUCGGUGCGGGCUGCGAAAGCGGUACCAAAUCGAUAUGAACUCUGAAUACCCUGUGUGUAACUAGGCAGUCAGACUGUGGGGGAUAAGCUCCAUAGUCAAGAGGGAAACAGCCCAGACCGCCAGCUAAGGUCCCAAAAUUAACGCUAAGUGAUAAAGGAGGUGGGAUUGCCCAGACAACCAGGAGGUUUGCCUAGAAGCAGCCAUCCUCAAAGGAGUGCGUAAUAGCUCACUGGUCGAGCGAUCCUGCGCCGAAAAUGAAUGGGGCUAAGCGUUAUACCGAAGCUGCGGAUAAAUUUAUUUAUGGUAGGGGAGCGUUCUAUGUUGGGUGAAGCGUUAGCGUAAGCGGACGUGGACGAUAUAGAAGUGAGAAUGUCGGCUUGAGUAGCGAAAACAUGGGUGAGAAUCCCAUGCCCCGAAACCCUAAGGGUUCCUCCGGCAGGCUCGUCCGCGGAGGGUUAGUCUGGACCUAAGGCGAGGCCGAAAGGCGUAGUCGAUGGAUAACAGGUCAAUAUUCCUGUACCAGUUAUGUUUUGGGAAGGGGGACGGAGAAGGCUAGCCAGGCCAGAUGUUGGUUACUGGUUCAAGCGUUCAAGGCUUUGAGAGAUGGAGAAAACAUCUUGAGCUGAGGCGUGAGUACGAGCUGCUACGGCAGCGAAGUUGGUGAUGUCAUGCUUCCAAGAAAAGCCCUAUACCCGUUAAGACAUAAGUGCCAGUACCCGAAACCGACACAGGUGGGGUGGUAGAGAAUACCGAGGGGCGCGAGAUAACUCUCUCUAAGGAACUCGGCAAAAUGGCCCCGUAACUUCGGGAGAAGGGGUGCCAGCGAGAGCUGGUCGCAGUGAAGAGGCGCAAGCGACUGUUUACCAAAAACACAGGUCUCCGCUAAGUCGCAAGACGAUGUAUGGGGGCUGACACCUGCCCAGUGCCGGAAGGUUAAGGAAGCUGGUUAGCUUUUAGCAAAGCUAGCGACUGAAGCCCCGGUGAACGGCGGCCGUAAGUAUAAGGGUCUUAAGGUA
rnacentral:rRNA from 1 species